rnacentral:sRNA from 1 species
CCUUAAGCAGUGAAACACAGUACUCAGUUGAUACUCGAAGACCGGCCCCCCAAAAGGCUCUGUAUUCCACAGCCAUGGAAUCCAUCCAGGGAGAGGCUCGACGGGGUGGUACCAUGGAGACUGAUGACCAUAUGGGUGGCAUCCCUGCCCGGAAUAGUAAAGGGGAAAGGCUUCUGCUUUAUAUUGGCAUCAUUGACAUUCUACAGUCUUACAGGUGAGGAGCAUAUGGAUCCCAAAUUAAGAGAGGGUGGAUACAGAUAACCAGUCACGUUUCUCUUUUAGAUAGGUUUGUUACCAAGUUCUUCCGGAAGCAAGAACAGUGAGUUGAAGUCUGGCUACUUACUUCAUUAGUUUUCAGAUGGUUUAUUUCCUUGAUUUUGCCUCUUUCCCCGGCCUUUAUAACCCUUCCUCCCCCAUCUCCCCAGACAUAAUGUAUACCUUCUGUGGAAAGCUGAGUCAGUCCUUGGAAGCACCAGGAUAGAAUAUGCCAUCUGUCUGGCUCUUUGCAAAAACCUAUGAGAUGAGUCAUGUUCCACAUGGGGAUACAACUGGAA